rnacentral:rRNA from 1 species
AUUGAACGCUAGCGGGAUGCCUUACACAUGCAAGUCGAACGGCGUGGCGAACGGGUGAGUAAUGUAUCGGAACGUGCCCAGUAGCGGGGGAUAACUACGCGAAAGCGUAGCUAAUACCGCAUACUAUUGGAGCGGCCGAAAUCGGGUUAGCUAGUUGGUGGGGUCACGGCUCACCAGGGCGACGCACCGUAGCUGGUUGGAGAGGACGACCAGCCACACUGGGACUGGGACACGGCCCAGACGCCUACGGGAGGCAGCAGUGGGGAAUUUUUGACAAUGGGCGAAACCCUGAUCCAGCCAUCCCGCGUGUGCGAUGAAGGCCUUCGGGUUGUAAAGCACUUUUGGCAGGAAAGCGGUACCUGCAGAAUAAGCACCGGCGAACUACGUGCCAGCAGCCGCGGUAAUAC